rnacentral:rRNA from 1 species
CGGCAACAGCUCAAAUUUGAAAUCUGGCUCUUUCAGGGUCCGAGUUGUAAUUUGUAGAGGAUGUUUCGGGCUUCGAUCCGGCUUAAAUUUCUUGGAACAGAAUGUCAAAGAGGGUGAGAAUCCCGUCUUGAGUCGGUCCUCGGGUCCAUGUGAAACUCCUUCGAC